CUCCUCUUCCUCUGUUUUCUCUUACUUUUUUUUUUUUUUUUUUGGUGUAUAGGACAGUUCUCUGGGAGUUAAGGGGAAAUUUAAUAAAAGUUAUCAAUAAUUUAUUUUUAAAACUGUGGCAGAAAUUAUAUAUCCAAAUGAAAUACAUCUUUCAAAGUAGUCACCUCAAGCAACCACACACUUAUUCCAAGAUGGAGUUAUUCAAAGUGCUUUUGAAACUCUUCUUUAGGAAAUGCUAACCAAGACCAGGCUACCUCAUACUCCUUUCUCAAUUGUACUUGGACCAGUUCUGUCUGUCUAGGUAUUUUUUGAACUUCAAGUUUAUUUCUCAAAAACAAUCCUUGCAGUGAGCCCUUAUUGUGGAGCAGGGUUUAUAUGCUAUCUUCUUUAAGCUAGCAAAACCCAAUUUGUUUGGUUCAGCCCUAGCCUUCAGGAUGCACAUAUGCUAAGGUUUAAGCAACCUGGAAAUUGGAUGCUAUUGUCAGCCAUUUGUUUACUAUGGCAUAAUUAAAGUUAAGUUUCCUAGCUUUGUCUCUCUUCAUUCUUACUAAGCAAUUAAUUCAUAACAGUACUCAGGCUUCUCCCAUUGCUUCAUGCCAUUGAUGUCAGAGAAGUUUCCUAUUAGUAUCUUCUCAGCAAUUUGUCUAAAAAUCUCUAAUUCUGAGCCUUAGGCAACUUUAUUAUUUCCUUUGGCAUAUGUUUUUCUUUCCUAACCUUUGUGAGUUAGAAAAGGAAAAAAAGAAAAAAAACAUUUAUUAUCUUCCAUUCCCAAAUGACUGUCUCUCUUUGUCCAACCAUUGCUUUCCUUUUUUCACUUUCCAUUCUAGCUUACAAACACACUACAAAAUCAAGUUAUUUAUUUUAUAGACCUGCCUCAUGUUAUAACAAAAAAAGGUAUUCCCCAGUUUGAUUAUUCACCUCAUUCACCAGAUGUAGCUUAGAAUUUGAGCUCUUUCCAAAAAUCAAAUUGCCAUUUAAAGGUAAAAGAUUUCCACUGGUAAAAUUACAUAACAGUGUGCUUCCAGUUCUAAGGUCCUGUGCUUCAUAUUCUAAGGACAAUUUCUAAACAAAAAUUAUUUUUAAAAAUGUAAGCCCCUUAGGAACUUAGAGACCAUCUACACUAUCCCCUUCGUUUUAUGAAUAAGAAAUUAAGGUCCAGAGAAAUGAAGAGACUUUCUCUGAGCUAUAUAAUCAGGAAGAAGCAUGUUGUCUAUGUAAACGAUUGCAGGAUUAUCAAAUUUGGAGCAGAAGGAAAUUUAGAGAUAAUUCUGUUAAAAUAUAUGCUCCUUGAAAGAAAGGACAUAAUUUUGUCUUUGUAUGUUCACUGCCCAGCACUGUGACCUGAAAAGUAGGCACUUGAAAUGGACAGUGAAUUUCAUUCAAUCCUCUCAUUUAAUAGAUGAGGAGACUGAGUCUCAGAGAGCAAAUUGAACUGUCCAAAGUUAAAAUCAAUGAUUUCUUUGUGGAUUUUGUAUCACAAAUCCUUGUGAAAGUCAGAAACAUAUAUCUGGCCCUAGAUUUCUAGACCUGUCUUCUUAUUAAAAUGUUUUUUUCCAGGGGGGUCCCUGGACACAGCCCCUAGAGGUCAAGAACUUCCUCAAACUGAACCAAAGGCUACAAUCAGCUUCUUCCCCUCACCCUUUUAAUCUACAUCCUGACAUUCUGGACAUUUUCCAUCAUGCCCCCAAGUGGCUAUCUUCUUUCCCUUUACCAUUCUUUUCAGCUUUCUUUAGAUGUCAUUUUCCCCUAACUGAAUAUAAACUCCCUGAGCAAGAAUGAGCUUUC
ensembl:lncRNA